rnacentral:lncRNA from 1 species
GCCGUCUUGUAACUUUGAAAACAAUUUGCUCCUCUGAUGUUUCCAUUUUAAGGCCUCUGUUUUGCAGAGCUCUAGCUCUAGAGCAAGAAAAAACCUACGGUUUCUCUUACAGGUUGCAAAGAGAUGGUGUUCACCUCUGUGUGCUUCAAGAUAUGGUUUACAUAGCUAAUGUACAGUGCUCUUAGUCAGCAUUAGUUCAAGAUUAAAUGUUUCAGAGCCUAAAGAGUAAGAUGUCAGUGAUUCCUGAUGGAUCUAAAAUAGCAAGUAAAUCGUGCAGUGGUUCAAAUGCUGGAUAAAAGAGCUUAUCUGCAGCUGGGCACGGUGGCUCACGCCUGCAAUCCUAACACUUUGAGAAACUGAAAUGGGUGAAUUGUUUGAGCCCAGGAGUUUGAGACCAGCCUGGGCAACAUGGCAAAACCCCAUCUCUACCAAAAAAAAAAAAAAAAAUUAUCCGGGCUUGGUGGCUCAUGACUGUAGUCCCAGCUACUUGGGAGGCUGAGAUGGCAGGAUCGCCUGAGCUCGGGGAGAUCGAGGCUGCAGUGAGCUGAGAUCAUGCCACUGAACUUCAGCAUGGGUGACACAGCGAGAUCCUCUCUCAAAAGGAAAAAAAAAAAGAGCUUAUCUCCCUCUACGUACUGCUUUAGUAGUAUCUCACUAAUGCAAAUUUUAAUGUAUUGUUUUCCUUUUCAUUUAGUUCAAAGCACUUUAUUCUGAUUUCGCCUUUGACCCAGAACUUAUCUAGAGGUAUGUUAUUUGUGUUCAGAUAUUUCUGUUUUUCAUUUUAAUUUGAUUUUACCAUGGUCAAAGAACAUAUGUUUUACAACUUUAAAAUUUUAGCCCGGG